GUGGCUGCUUUCAAGUUAGAGUUAGCAGUUAGAGUUAGAGUUAGCAGAGGGAGUUAGCAGAGUUAGAGUUAGAGAGUUAGCAGAGAGUUAGCAGAGUUAGAGUUAGCAGUUAGAGCAGUUAGAGUCAGUUAGCAGUUAGAGUUAGCAGUUUAAAGGGGACAGUAGCACAGUGGCUGCUUUCAAGUUAGAGUCAAAGAACGACCGUGAUGCGAUUGGGCAGCAGCAGCUCACUGGAGGAGCAGGUAGGACCUGCCUGCCUCCUUUUAAAGAGGGUUCCUGACUCCCCAGAAGUGGAUUUUGAGAGCCUAUGGAGGGGACUGCUGUGAAGAGAAGAGGAUGUGGAAAUUCCUCUGUGGAAACCUUCUCUGCAUCUGCCUAGGGUUAAGAUUGAACCUAAUUAUACUAAUAAAUUAAUAAAUUAUUAUUGA